rnacentral:lncRNA from 1 species
GGACUUUCUGUUUCUAAGCCAGCUGUGAUUGCCUCAUUAGAGCAAGGGAAGGAACCCUGGAUGGUUGUGAGGGAAGUGACAGGAAGAAAAUAUUCAGGUGAGUAAGCCAUUAUCAGGAAGCUAUUGCAGAAUGUUGGAAACUGGUCAGAAUAUUGAGUUUGCAAGGUUAUUAACAAAAAUAAGUAAGCGGGGCUGGGAAUGUGGCUCAAGCGGUAGAGCGCUCGCCUGGCAUGCAUGCGGUCCGGGUUCAGUCCUCAGCACCACAUACAAACAAAGAUGUUGUGUCCGCCGAAAACUAAAAAAAAUAAAUAAAUAUUAAAAUUCUCUCUCUCUCUCUCUCAAAAAAAAAAAAAAAGAAAAGAAAAGAAAAAUAAGUAAGCAAAUAAUUACAGAAAACCUGUUUCAAAAACCUGUUACAAAGCCACAGAAAUGAAACAGGAUGCUACUGGAGUGAAGAGAGACAUAUAGACCAUUGGAAUAAAGCACCCAGCCCAGAAAUAAACCCUUGUAUAUAUAGUAAAAUGGUUUAGUCAUGGGUGUCAAGACUGUUCAAUGAGGAAAGACACACUUUAACAAACAAUGUUGGGAAAACUGGAAAUCCACAUGUAGGGGAAUAAAAUUCAAACAGAUAUAAAAAUUAACUCAAAAUGGAUCAAAGAACUAAAUGUGAGAGCUAAAAUGAUAAAAACUCUUAGAGGAAAAUAUUAUGGAAAAGAUUCAUGACAUUGGAUUUGGUAAUGAUUAAUUGGCUAUGAUACCAAAACAUAGGCAGCAAAACCAAAAAGAGACAAAUGGGAAUCCAUCAAAUCAAACAUUUCUUUUCAUCAAAUGACACAAUCAGGAGUAGAGCUGUAGCUCAGUGGUAGAGCUCUUGCCUAGCAGGUAUGAGGCAUUAGGUUUCAUCCACAGUACCACAUAAAAUAAUCAAUAAAUAAAAUAUAGGCAUUGUGUAAAAAAAUCUUAAAAAAUAACACACAAUCAACAGGAUUUUAUUAUUAUUUUUUGUGUGUGGGUAUUUUACUGGAGUUGAACCCAAGGUCUCUUGCAUGCUAGGCAAGUGCUUUAUCACUAAGGUAAAGCCCUUUCUCUCUUUCUUUUUUAUGUUUUUAAAUACUGGGGAUUGAACCAGUAAGCUUCAUGCACAGCCAUUUUUAUUUUAAUUUUGAGAUAGUAUCACACAAAGUUUCCUAAGCUGACCUUGAACUUGUUGUCCUCCUGCCUUGACCUCCCUUGUAGCUGACCCAGUCUUCUACCCACCUUUUUAAAUUUUAUUUUGAGACAGGGUUAUAUUGCCUGGGCUAUCCUCAGACUUGCAGUUUUCCUGCCUAAUGUUUAUUAUUAUUUUUUAAAAGAUUCAUAUAAAUUGCUUUGGUAGGUGAUGGAAUAACAUUUUUAAUGUGUCAUGAAGACAUUUUCAAUCUAGUAGGGGAUCAAGAGUAUAAGAAAAAAUGUUUCAGUAGAACACUUAGGAAAGAAUUAGGAUUGUUUAGAAGUUGGGAGAGUUAAAUAAAAUAUGACUACUUUGAGGAGGUAGAGAUGGCAGAGUUGAUUGGGAUGGAAAGUGGUCAGCAAGGAAUUUUUGGGUUUCUGUGUGCCAACAUGGAAUAUUUAUGGUUCUGGAGGCCAAGAGCACAUCAUUAUACAGGUCAAAGAUCUUUAAUGAUGUCUACAACUCAUUACAUUGCUUAGAAACUGUGAAAGAAUACAUUUGUGUUGUUGUAAGCCAUCCAAUUUGAAGUAUUUUGUUGUAGAAGCCAUGAAAUACUAAUAGAAGGAAAUCAUAGAAAAAAGGAUACAUAUUUUUCUAUGUGUUUUAAUUUAAAGAUGUCAUUCCUUUACCAAGGAAAUCUUGUUGCCUGACUAGACUUUCCCUUUGGCUUGGGUAUAGAGAUUGAUUGAUUUUAUUUUUAUCUUUUUUUGAAGUGCUGAGUUUAAGCCCAGGGCCUUGGUAAGUACUCUACCGCUAAGCUGUUAUCUCCAGCCCUGGUAUAGUGAUUUUUCAAAAAAAAAUUUUUUUUUAAAUGGAGGCUCAUAGGAGGUUACAAAGAAAUGUACAGAAAGUCCUACAGUCUCCCCUAGUAUAAAUACCUUACACAACUAUAGUACAAUAUCAUACCAAAAAUUUGACAUUGCUACAAUCCAUAGAAAUUAUUCAGAUUUCUUGAGUUAUACACGCCCUUGUUUAUGUGUGUGUAUAAAUAACUAUAUGUAGUUUUAUCACAUGUAGCCUUGCAUCUCCACCACAAUAGUCAACAUAUUCAACAGACCAGUCACCACAAGACUCCCUGUGUUAUCUCUUUAUAGCUGCACAUAUUUCUUUUUCCUUUUCUCUAACCCUUGGUAGCCACUAUGCACUUAUCCAUCUUUAUAAUUACAUUGUUUCAUGAAUUCAAAUUAAAACCAAAAAUGAGAUACCUAUAAGAAUGGUUAAAAUGUAAAAUGAAAAAUAUAAUAUCAAAUGCUGGCUAGGAUUCAGAGAAAAUGGAUAGCUCGUGCAUGAUGAUGUAAAAAUGAAUGUAAAAUGGUAUGUAUGACCAUUGUGGAAAAUAGUUGGGCAUUUCUUUUCAAAACUGAAAAUAGAUUUACCAUACCACCCACAAUUUAAUUCUUGAACAUUUAUUGUAGACAAAUUAAGACUUAUUUUCAUGUACUAAUAUAUACAUGAAUGUAAGAAAUAUAAACAUAUGUGUGUACAUAUGUGUGUACAUGUGCGUGCGCACAUGUGUAUGUAUAUGAAAUAGGAAAAAAAGCCAAUUGAAUUUCCUUAGUGGUAAAUGGUAUUGAAUGUCUUUUCAUGUAUUUGUUGUCUGUAUAUCCUAUUAAGUAAAUUGUCUCUUGCUCAUUUUUUAAUUUGAUUGUUUUUUACUGUUAAGUUUCAAUGUUCUUUGCGUAUUCUUUCUUUUUUUGAGCCAGAGUCUAAUUUGCCCAGUUGACCUUGAACUUUCUAUCUUCUGCCUCAGCCUCCUGAGUAGCUAGGAUUAGAGGCCUUUGCCACUAUGCAUUCUUUGUGUAUUCUAGAAGGCCUUUGUUGGACUUUUUUCCCCAAGUCUAUAAUUUUUCUUUUCAUCCUUCCUUGCCCCACUCCCUAUACUGGAGUCUUUUAUCAUUAUGAUAUAAAUUAUAGAUUUUUCAUUUUUGUUUUUAAUGCCCUUUAUGAGAUGAAGGAAAUUUCCCUCCUCUCCUAUUGCCCCAAGAGUUUUUAUCAUGAAUGGGUUUUGAUGUAAUCAAGUUAUUUUUCUUCUUUGUCAUAUUGAUUUGAUGUAUUACAUCAAUUGAUAAAUCAUAAUAUAUUACGUAGUAUAAUAUAUGUAGUAUAUUAUAUGAUAAAACAGUAUUUUUUAUUGUUGUUGGGUUGGAUUCAUAAAAUUAAUUGAGGAUUUUUUAUUUAUGUUCAUGAAAGAUAUUGGCCUGUAGUUUCUUUUUUUGUUCUGACUUAGCCCAGUUUUUGUAUCAGAGUAAUUACUGACCUUGUUAGGUGAGUUGGGAAGUAUUCCCUUUUCUUUUAUUUUCUAGAAGAAAUUAUUUAAAACAUAUGAGUGGCAAAAUAAAUUUUCCAUUGAAAUCAUCUGGACCUGGAGAUUUCUUUGGGGGACUUUGUGUGUGUACAUGCGUGUAUGUGUGUGUAUAUGUGGGUAUUUUACUGGGAAUGUAACCCAGGGGCACUCUACCACUGAGCUGUACCCCUAGCCCUUUUUUAUGUUGAGUCAGGCUCUGGCUGAGUUGCCUGGCUGUCCUCAAACUUGUGAUCCUCCUGACUCAGGCUCCCAAGUUAUUGGGAUUACAGGUGUGUGCUCCAGUGCCAAGCUAUUUCAGGGGCAUUUUUUUUAGUUGUAGUUGGACACAAUACCUUUAUUUUUAUGUGGUCCUGAGGAUCAAACCCAGGACCUUGAACAUGCUAGGCAAGCACUCUUCCGCUGAGCCACAACCCCAGCACCUUUCAGGGGUAUUUUGAAUUACAAAUUCAAUUUCUUUAGUAGUUGUUAGACUAUUCAGAUGAUCUUUUUCAUCUUGGCUGAGUUUUGAUAGUUAAUUGUUUCAAGGAAUUAGUUCAUUUCUUCUAAGUCAUUGAAGUUAUAAGUGUAAAGUUGUGUGUGUGUGGGGGGGUGUAUGUAUAUAUAUAUAUAUCCUGCCACAUGCCACUUAAUGAGGGGAAUACAAUGAGAAAUGAUACUUAGGCAACUUCAUUGUUGUAUGAAACUCAUAUAACUCAUGUUUACAGAAACUAAGAUAGCUUCACCAUCACUGGGCAAUAUAAUUUUAUGGACCACCAUCAUAUAGGCACUCUAUCAUUGACUGAAGCAUAUUUAGGUCAUGUGUGGCUUUAAAUAAAGGAUGUCCUUAUGAUCCUUUAAAUUUCUUUGCUAUUUCCUCUUUGACCUGCAGAUCAUUUUUAAAUUAAUUAAUUUUUAAAUUGACAAAUAAAAAUUGUACACAUUUAUGGUGUACAACAUAUUUUCAUAUAUGAAUACAUUGGGAAAUGAUUAAAUCAAACUAAUGUAUGAUGAGAGCCUUAAGUGAUACCACAACAUGGCAGAGAAGCAGAAGAGCAAGUAGGUGUGUGCCAAAGAAAGAUGACUUCCUCCCAUGAGAUCUCUCCCAAGAACAACAUUAAUCCCUUCCUAGGGGCAGAGCCCCCAUGACACAAACCCACCUCUUAAAAGUCCCACCCCUCUCAGCUCUUACCCUGGGGGGGCCAGAUUUCAAUGUGCAUUUUGGAAGGGACAAACCAUAGCAAUGUGGUUUACAGGAAGCAAAGAGAUUGACCACUUAUAUCUCACGUGGAAGAGUCAUGUGGAAUGAAGACUGGCACUGGAGCACUGAUUAUGGGAUAGUGAUUUUCACGGUGACCUAGGCUAAAAAUAUUUCAGUAGAGUUGAAAUAUUUAUUGAAGUGAGUUAUAAAUGACUAACAUAUAGGCAGGGAAAGGAAGUUCUAUUCCAUAAGUGGUACUGAAUCAGUGGGUAUCUGUCUAGAAAAAUAGUAAUAUUGAUUCCUACCUCAAACCAUCAAAAAUCAAAUCUGCAUGUAUUGUAGAUGUAAAUAUGAAAGGUAAAAGAGUAAAACUUCUAGAAGAGAGUAUGGAUAUAUUUUCGUGACCUUUGGAUUGAAUUAGUUUAAAAUGAAAAAUUUCGACUCAUUAAAACAUAAUGAAUAAAAACAGAGUGAAAGUGCUAGCUUAGAAUGGGAGAAGAUAUUUGCAAUAUAUAUGUUGGUAAUAUUCAGAACAUAUAAAGAAUUCAUACAAAUCAGUAAUAAAAAACAGAAACCACCCACAGGGCCAUUAAUUGAUGAAUUGAUAAAUGUGGCAUAUCCACCCAAGGUAAUAUUAUUCAGCUAUAAAAAAGAAUGAAUGCUACAACAUAAUUGAAACUUUAAAACAUGUACAGUGAAACAGCAAGAUCUAAAAGGUCAUAUAUUAUUUGAUUUCAUUUAUAUGAAAUGUCCAGAAUAGGAAAAUCCAUAGAGGCUUAAAAAUUUUUGUGGUUGCCAGGAUGGUGGAAAGAGGGAAUGGGAUGUGACUGUGUAUAUGAUUUCUUUUUGGAGUGAUAAAAAUAUUCUUGUAUUUAGAUAGUGAUGAUGUUGUACAAUACUGAGAUUUGACUAAGUUAUUGAAUUGUAUGUGUGUGUGUGUGUGUGUGUGUGUGUGUAUAUAUAUAUAUAUAUAUAUUUUUUUUUUUUCGUCUGUGUGUGAAUGGAACUGGGGAUUGAACCCAGGGGUGCUCUACCUCAGAGCUACUUCCCUAGACCAAUUUUGUUUGUUUUCUGAGACAGGGUCUUAGUAAAUUUCUGAGGCAGGCCUUGAACUUGAAAUCUUCUUGCCUCAGCCUCCCAAGUCACUGGAAUUACAGGUGAGUACCACCACCAUACCUUAUUGAAAGGCUAAAAUGGUAAAUUUUAUGUUUUAUGAAUUUUACAUAAAUAUCAAUAAUAAUGGACAAAUUUUAUUAAAGAAAAUGCCCAUGCAGCCAAUAAGCAUAUGAAAAAGUGCCUCAUUUGCAGUUGUGGAAGUUGUAAAUUAAUUACAAUUUAAUAUCAUAACAUAAUUGCCAUGACAGCCAAUGGUAAAAAGAUUGACAAUAACAAGUGUUAUUGAAGAUGGAUAGAACUGGACCUCUCUUAGCAUCUGAAGGAAUCUUUAAUUAAAAAACAGUUGGAUAGUAUCAACUAAAGGCUAAAAAAAUGUAUAUACUUACUAUGAUGCAGCAAUUUCACUUUUGUGUGUAUACCUACUAGAAGGAAAUCCUAACUUCUAUCCAAAGAAAUGUAUAAGAAUAUUCAUGCACCACUAGUCAUAAUAACCAACUGGGAACAACCUGAAUGUCCAUGAUUAGGAAUAAGAAAAAAUAAAUUGUGUUAGAAUAUACAGUCAUCAGUUUUUAUUUUGAAGAUACCUGAAUACUCCCCCAAAUUAUUGAGGACUCUAGGAGCUCUUGUGUAUAUAUAUAUCAUAUCUUUCAGUAUUUACUAUCUUAGAAAUAAAAUCUAGGAAAAAAUUUACUUAGUUAAAAAAUGGUAUACAGAAUAUUAACAUAAAUAUUUUAUGACAAUUAUUUUUCCCAAAAAAAAGAUAUUUACUGAGAAAGUGACAGUAUUUUGUUUUUAUUUUUGCAUAUUUCCUUAAUGCCUAGACUAAAAAAAGAUAGCUGGACUGUCAUCUCUGUCUGCAUAUACUGUUAAAAUCCAUUUUUAAAAUUUGUUUUUUUUUUUUGGGGGGGGGAAGGGGACCUUUAAUUAACCCAGGGGUGCUUUACUACUAAGCUGCAUCCCCAGACGUUUUGGGUAUCACUAAGUUGCUGAGGCUGACCUUGAACUUAUGAUCCUCCUGCCUCAGCCUCCCCAGUUGCUAGGAUUAUAGACGUGUGCCACUGAUCUUGGCCUAUCUUAGUUUUGAAUGGAUCUCUUACCUGUGUUACCCAUUUUAUAAUACUGUGCUUUAGUCACUUGGAAAAUAUUGCUUCAAUUAAUUAUUCAGAUAUUCCUACACUGUCAGAACCCCCUAACAAUCUGUAGUUCCUGUUACAGCAGACAUGCUAAAGACACACACACACACACACACAUCCAAUAGAAAUGAGCCCCUCUUUAUUUUUUCCAUACUUCUUUUAUACAGCAAAAAAGAAUCACAUCCUCUCGGCAGCUUAAUCUUUUAAAGCAUGGAUAAACAUUCUCAGAAUAACUUUGUUCAUGGUCACAGUGCUCCAUACUUCUUAUUAUCUGACUUGUAGUUAGUUAUUUCUUGGCAAGCAUAUCUAUAUCUAUAUCUAUAUCUAUCUAUCUAUCUAUCUAUAUAAAACUUGGCAAAACAUUCUUUUAUCUUCUUAAGACAGCAACAAGGACACAGUUCAAAGAGUUCAUAGUUUCUCACAGAACCCCUUUGUUUUGCUAAGCACAGCAAAACUUAACACUUUGUGUGCAUGAGCAUACACUACACUAACACAUUUUCUCUCAAAUAACCAAAAAUAUGUUAUUUUAUAAUAACCAGUAAUGUUUGUUAAUAUGAUCGGUGAUCUCAUCAGAAGAGUCUUUUUUAAGUAUUGGGAAAAUGUUAGACUCAUAAUAGCUGAAACAAACUUUCCAAAAGUCUAGUUUUUUUGUUUUUUGUUUUUUUGGUAUUGGGAAUUGAACUCUGGCCACUCAGCCACUGAUCCACAUCCCCAGCCCUAUUUUGUAUUUUAUUUCGGGACAGGGUCUCACUGAGUUGCUAAGCACUUCAUCAUUGCUGAGGCUGGCUUUGAACUCUUGAUCCUCCUGACUCAGCCUCCCGAGCUUCUGGGAUUACAGGCAUGGGCUACCACGCCUGGCUUCUUGUUGUUGUUGUUUUUGUAGAUGGACACAAUGACUAUUUUUAUUUAUUUAUUUUAUGUGGUGCUGAGGAUCAAACCCAGUGGCUCACACAUGCUAAGCAAGCGCUCUACCACUGAGCUACAACCCCAGCCCCCUGCCAAAGUCUAGUUUUUAACUUGAAAGGUAGAAUUGUAUCAUUGACAAAUAGUUUUUCUUGAAGUGACAGAUUUUUUUUUUUAGUUUUCUGAAAUAAUUAUGGUGCCUAAAUUACCAUAGCCUGUUUGUUGUUCUCUCAAGUAAAAAUUGAAUUCCUUGAGAAAUAAAGUAACUAGUUCAAUUUGCAACUGAAAUAAUUUAGUUUAUGCUUUUUCCUCAAAACCGUCAAUCUACUUUUGUAUACAGCAGCACCAUGUUUCAUCAUAUAAAAUAUACCAAACAUGAACUGAAGGCCUGAGAUAUAACAAAACUAAUCAUAUUUUCUGAUCAUCAUGAGCAUUCUUAAAUGAAUCUGUCAUUUCCCCCAACAGAUAAUGGCAAUGAAGAAGAGUGAUAAUGUACACUUUGGUGCCACUGCUUUGAUUCAAGCUAAGGCACGAGCAGUUCUACUCAUUAUUACUUUUUGUAUAGAUAUUAAUAGGAAUUUCCAGGAUAAAUCAUGAGAUUAAAAAAAAGUCAUUUAAAUCCCUACUAUUCAGGAGGCUGAGGCAGGAUUUUUUGAACCCAGGAGUUAAAGGCCAGUCUGGGCAACAUAAUGAGAUUCCCAUCUAAAAAAAGUUUUUUGCUUUGAAUAUUUUAGUACUACAACGAUGUUUGUUAUCAAGCAUUUAUAUAAAGAAUCUUCUUUUAAUGAUUAAUUUGUACUCACGCUAGUCAGAUACAAACAAAACACUAAGUCCAGCUACGUGGAUGAAUUUAUUUGUAAGACAAAAGUACAAUUCAGUCUUCCUGUUUGCAAUCUAGUAUUUCUGUUUACAGGUUAGUCUAUAAUUUGAGUUUAUUAAUUUGAAAUUUGUACUUUUGUGAUUUGUUUUACUGACAUCUCAUCCAGCAGGUAUCACAUGUACAAAUGUCAAAAGACAAAAUUACUGCAAAUUGGUUAUAGAUCUAAUUGGUUUAUUUUAAAGUAUUUUUUAGUUGUAGAUGGACACAACACCUUUAUCUAUCUAUCUAUCUAUCUAUCUAUCUAUCUAUCUAUUUAUUUAUUAUGUUGUGCUGAGGAUCAAACCCAGUGCCUCACACAUGCUAGGCAAGUGCUCUACCACUGAGCCAUAACUCCAGCCCCUCUAUAAAAUAGAAUAAAAGCUCCUGUUGGGCAGCAGCAGAAUUGUAAAUUUUGUAACAUGGGAACAAGGAAACAGAACAGUAGAAAAGAAAAAAACCUGAGAAAAGAAAAAAUUAACAUUAAGUUACUUUUUUUGUAAGGUUAACCCUUAAAAAUUUAACAUCAGGUAUUUCCUUAUCUUAUAAGCUAAAACUGGCUUGUUUAGGAAUUUGAUUAUUCUCUUUCUCCUGACUUCUCAAGUCAGAUUAAAAAAAAUGCAUUUUGACUUGGUGACAUGAACUUUCAUCUUGAGUAACUCCAUUUUGGUUGGUCUGUUGAACUUAUUGCAGGAACUCAGUCCCAACUAACAGCAGCCUACAAAUUUUCUUUAAACACAAGUCUCUGAAAACUAUUGUGUGCAAUUUCUACUGUUUUUCUAUAAGACGAUUUCAGUGGAGUUUUUAUUUCUAGUUUCAAUAGUUAUAGCAAAACAACUGUCUUUUAAAGAGCUCACUGUGGCUAUUUUUUAAAUAUUAAAAAUAUUAAAUUUCUUUUUCUUUACACUGAUUGGUCCCUUAUUCUUCCUGUUUUUAUUUCCAUGUGGCUACAUGGAAACUGGGAUUUCAAAAUAAUUUCUUGGACGGUAAUAAAGCUACAGAGAUAAAAGCAUGUCUGAAUAAAUAUGGUUUUUAAGAGCACAGAAGUGCUGAAAACAAAAUGAAUUAGUCUUUGAAAGUGUACGUUUAGACAGCAUGGCACUGGUUAGCCACUGCAGGAUGGUAGCGCAGCGGCUGGACAAGUAAGUAUUAAGCAAGCUGCAGUCCCCAUUGUGGGCCCACAGGAGCUGCAGCUGGACGACGUGAAGUGGAUCAACUUGGAGGAGCUAUACUGUGGCAGCAAGGCAGACAUGCCUGAUGAGGUUAAUAUCAAUGAGUUAUUAGAAUUGGAGAAUGAACAGGAAAGAAGCCAGAAUAUCCAGGGACUCCUGAAGCAAAAAAUGCAGGAAUCCUAUACAAGAUUCUGUUCAAGAGCUGCUGGCCAAGCUGUGGGGCCUCCACAAGCAGUCUGGCCUCUGCCAUCUCAGACCCUCAGAUGAGCCCCUCAGGACAGGUUCAGACUAUACCCCAUGACCCUUUCUCACCUCUGACUCCCGUGCUCUCUCCAAUAUUGCCCAGUUUGCCCAACUUGUAUUUAAUGGUUCUGUAACAAUAACUCCAUGUUCCUGUUUUUCCUCUCUGUGGUUACCUGGGCUUCUCUGUGGCUCCUACCCACAACCUCCCUCUCUCCUGUUGGGGUCUUGUGUCCCAGUACAGCUCCUGGCAACAGAUGGAGGAUUGCUCCUGUCCUGAGAACCUGAGAACAGCCAUGGUAACAGAGGGGUACCUCAGGACUCAUCCUGUGCUCACCAACCCCCCUUGCCUGGGCCCAGUCCCAGCCAGCAGGGUCCCUGUAGGCUGGAGGCGCCCAGGGAUGCUGGGGGCAAUGACAGCCUCGACUUCCGGGCCAGGGGAGGUACACAUGACCCACUGUGGCCCAUAUCACCUCAACACAGGUGGUCAAAGAGCAAACGAGUCAUUCAUCCAUGUCAAAAAAAAAAAAGGACAUAUUUAUUGGCUAAAUUUACUACUUUAGAAACAAAUAGAAUAUACAAAUACAUAAUUAUUCCAUUAAAUUUCCAAAUAUGACAAUAUCCUGCCGGGGUCCAGCCCUAGCGGGGUCCAGGGAAUCCUGAAGGAUGAGUGGCGUCGGUGAAAAGAUGAACAGGAGUCGUUUCGUUGGAGCAAUCUCCAGAGAGAGAGAGCUCUAAUGCAGCUUUCUCUGGAUCAUCUUUUAUUAUAAUUUUUCUCAUCAUUAUAGAUUCAGAAUACAUCAUUGAUUAUACAGUUUCAAAACUUUGCCAAGACAUAAUGUUUCCUUAACCAUAAUUAGGGGUAUAGAAAAGUGUAACAUCAAUUUACAUUUUUCCAGGAUGUGACUUUUUAGUUAUCAAUCAUUAAUAAAAUGCGUCAUUAAUUCACAUUUUUUUCAGAUUUUCCCAAAAUGUACUAUUUUCUUAUUAACUAAUGACAAACUAUGUAACCAGACUCUAAGUCUCCUAACCUAUCAUUAACAUUUAAGUUUUAAAGUACACCUGCACUUUUAUUUCUAAUCUAAAAUUCCCAUCUAAAAAAGUCCCUUUAAAUCUUAUACUUAAAAUAUCCUAAAGUUUAUAAACCAUUCUUAAAACAUAUCAGAAACCCAUACAGCUAAAAACUCAAGAAUUCUAAACCAAGAAUCUAAAUAGGAUAAUACUUCUAACAUUAUUCUAAAAAUAUGUCUUAUAAAGCUACUUUAAUUAAUUCCUAAAUUUAUUCUCAUAAAACUGGUUCAGCUGCUUUCUCAAAGAGUAUCUUUGUUUCUCAGUCAAGGUACACUAGUUCUUAUAUCUUUAUAAUCUUUCUCAAUAAAAAGUAAAUUCUAAACAUCAGUCCACUUUCCGCCAAUAUUAAAUAUGCUCAUCAUAAAUCCCUAUAUGAAGUAAAAGAGGGUUUAUAGAAAUGAAAAGAAUGUAUCCUUAUAUGUCUUAACUUUCCUAAAUGUAUAACAUAACUUUCCUUAAUCAAGAAUGAAACAACAUACAGUGGGUUUUGUACAAUGAGCAUAAUGAUUAGGUUUUCUUAAAGGCCGGAAAUAUGGGCUUGGGUUCUAGUUGAUAUAAUCAAUGUGGUGCCUAAAAUUCUCAUGACCUUUCAGAAAAUGAUUGUCUAUUAUCAGUUUUGUCCUCAGUGUGCUGAUAUGGAAGAGCAGCUUUCUACUUUGUCCUUGAUAUGCUGAGGGGUAGUAGAACAGCUUUUAAGGCAUGAACUACCUGUUAUGUUCUAGCCAUCUGAAAUUUAAUUUGGUUUGGCAUUUAACAUACUCAUGCCUCCUGUGAGGAACAUGAGCAUGAAAAUGAAAAGUCCCAAUUACAUAAAAAGGGGUCUCAUGGUUUCGGUUUCCCACCAACCAGCAUGGCUUUGCCAGCAUUCAUCCUCACUGUGACCUUGUCAAGGCAGUGGGAAAGUAGCUUUGCCAGUGAGAGGGGGAUCACCUUCACCAAUAUCCCAUAUCCAGAAGUCUCAGAAACUUUCCAGUACUAGUCAAAGAAUGAAAGAAAUAGGCAACUAAAAGCUGGGCAUUGUGGCAUGCAUCUGUAGUCCCAGCUACUUGAAGGCUGAGGCAGGAGGUUCUCUUGUACCUAGGAGUUUGAAGCCAGCCUGGACAACUUAGAAAGAUUGUCUCUUAGAGAGAGAGAGAGAGAAGGAAGGAAAGAAAGGCAAAAUGUGUUCUGUUAUUAGUAUGAUGAUAGCUUUGACUCUAAGACCCUAAGAGUCUCAGAUUCACUCAUGAGUUGCUAGAGCAUGCUUUACUGUUCCUAUACAGUAAUGAAAAUUAAUAAGUCACUGCUGUGUGUAACAUUAUGGAUGAACCCUACAAACACAGUAUUUGAUAAAAGAAGAUGAGGGAAAAAUUACAAACUGUAUGAUUCUUUUUAUUGGAAAUUCAGAAACAGACAAAAGAUCAGUGUAAGUAUAAGAAUACAGGAAAUUGUUUACCUUGAGUGAAUAACAAGCCAACUCUGAGAGGCCCUAAGCAACUCAGUGAGACCCUGUCUCUUAUAAAAUACAAACAGGGGCUAGGGAUGUGCCUCAGUGAUUAAGCACCCCUGGGUUCAAUCCCUGGUACCAAAAAAAGUAUUGAAAUUCUGUAACAAGGGGCUGGGGCUGGGGCUUAGUGGCAGAGUGCCGCGUCGCACAUGUGAGGCACUGGGUUCAAUCCUCAACACCACAUAUAAAUAAACAAAAUAAAGAUAUAAGAAAAAAUAUCAACGUUAAAACAAAAGAAAAAAGGAAGAAAAAGAAAAAGAAGUUAUGUAACAAGGGCUGGGCUGUACCUUAGUGGUAGCCUAGCCAUGUUAGGCAAUGGUUCUGAUCCUCUGCACAACGUAAAAACAAAUAAAACAAAUAAAUCUAUUGUAUCCAUUUACAACUAAAAUUAUCUAAAAUAAAUAAAUAAAUACAUCUUUUAAAAAAUUCUGUGACAUUCUUAACUAUCCUUUGAAAAUGGGACAUCCCAAAAUUACUUGUGUCUAACAAAUAGAAUGCAGCUGAAGUGAUACUUUGUGACUUCAAAGGCUAAGUCAUAAAGGUAGUCAGCUUGUGCCUGGCAUAUGUUCACACCCUCCCUCCUGUAUCUCUCCACAUGUUUUGGAGGCUUGAGCUGCCAUGUAAGAGGGUCUCAACAGACUUAGCUCUUCUAAUCCCCAGCUUCUCAUACUUUUCAAGCUAAGAACCAGACAUGUGAGUGAGGAAGCUGUUGAAAUGAUUUGGCCUGACCACUAUCUGACUACCACUUAAGAAACUCCAAGUAAGGAAUGGCUGACUGAGCUCAAAUCUGAAAGAUAAGUUAUUGGUACUGGUUUAAUCCACUAAAUUAUAGUGGAUUGUGUGUGUGUGUAAAAUAAGAUUGUGUGUAUGUGUAUAAAAUAUCUGUUAUUAAAUACUCCUGUGUGUGUGUGUGUGUGUGUGUGUGUGUGUGUAUAAAAUAUCUACCAAAUACUCCAGUAGAUGUAGGGGUGAGGAAAAUUAUGGGACGUGUUAAGGAGUUAUUGCAAAUUUAAGGGUUUUAAAUUAUUACAGUUCUCAACAGUUUAUUAUCUUUGACUUGUUUUGCAUUUCCCCCCCCUCAAUCCUACUUCUUUAAAUAUAUACUCAGCACGGGCUGGGGUUGUGGCUCAAUGGUAGAGCACUUGCCUAGCACACAUGAGGCACUGGAUUUGAUCCCUGUCACCACAUUUAAAAAAAAUAAAGUCAAGUCAUUGUGUCCAUCUGCACCUAAUAUAUAUAUAUUAUAUAUAUAUAUAUAUACACACACACACACACACACACAUACUCAGCAGUUGGCUAUUGAAUACUUAUUAGUUAUAUCUUGAUUUUCUAUCCUUAAACAAGUGCAUGAAGAGGGAACCUACAGAAUGAAAGAAAAAUUUUGCCACCUGCACCUCACAUAGAGCAUUAAUCUCCAGGAUCUAUAAAGAACACAAAAACUUAACCCCCCCAAAAUAAAAAUAAAACAAAUAAUCCAAAAAAUUGGCAAAGCAGCUGAACAGGUACUUCAAGAAGAAUUACAAAUGGUCAACAAAUAUAUGAAAAAAUUUUCAUCUCUAGCAAUUAGAGAAACGCAAAUUAACUGAGAUUCCAUCUCACUCCAGUCAGAAUGGCAAUUAUCAAGAAUGUAAGUAACAAUGUUGGCAAGGAUGUGGAGAAAAAGGUAUGCUCAUACAUUGCUAGUGGGACUAUAAAUUACUGUGAACACUCUGGAAAGCAGUGUGAAAAUUCCUCAGAAAACUUAGAAUGGAACCACCGUUUAACCCAGUUAUCCUACUCCUCAGUAUAUAAGCAAGGACUUAAAAUCAGCAUACCACAGUAAUGCAGCCACAUCAAUGUUUAUAGCACCUCAAUCCAAAAUAGCUAAGCGAUGUGCCCUUCAACAGAUGAAUGGAUAAAGAAAAUGUGAUAUAUAUACACAAUGGAAUAUUAUUCAUUCAUUAAAAAAAGAAUGCUAUAUGACUUUCAUCAAUAUAUGGAUGAAACUAGAGAUUAUCAUACUAAGUGAAAUAAAUUAAUCCCCAAAUACCAAAGGUCGAAUGAUCUCUCUGAGAUGCAGAUGCUAACACACAACAAUGGGGCAGGGCACAGGGAGAAUAGUUCAAUGGACUAGACAAAGGAGAAUGAAGGGAAGGGAGGAGAGAUUGGAAUAGGAAAGACAAUAGAAUGAAUCAGACAUAACUUUCCUAUGUUCACAUUUGAAUACAUCAUGUACAACCACAAGAAUAAGAUCCUAAUAGGAAUAAGUUAUACUCCAUGUAGGUAUAAAAUGUCAAAAUACUUUCUACUGUCAUGUAUAUUUAAAAAGAACAAAUUUAAAAAUUGAAGAGGGAGAAUUAGCAAUUAGGGCUUGGGUCAUCUGGAUCUGAGGAGAAGUUCUCAGAAGUUACUAUAUAAUACAUCUGGAUUUCUUUAGGGAGAACCCAGUUACAUGGCACACCAAGGUGCAAAAGAGUUUGAGAAAUGCAGGUUUAUAAUGAGGAGAUUUGUUCUCAACUAUGUAAACAUGAGUUCAUUGAUAUUUUCAAAAAGGGAAGAACAGAAAUUUGGGAACAACUUGCAGUUGCCACAUAGACUUUGGGUUAGUGGGGAAUAUUAAACAUACUAUUGUGGAUUCUCAUUCAGUUAAUCUCAUACUAUGAUCAACAUUCUUAGAUUUUGAUUUGGUUGGUCUAGAAUGUUUCCUAAAUAUAACAUAAUUACAUUCAGUGAUUGAUUUCAAAGCAGAUCAAAAUUUUAGGACUAUUGCUGGGUACAGUGAUGCAUGCCAUAAUCCCAGUGACUCUGCAGGCAGGAGGAUUGGGAGUUUAAAGCCAGCCUCAGCAACUUAGGCCCUAAGAAUUUAGCAAGACUCUGUCUCAAAAAAUAAAAAGGGCUGGGAUUAUAGCUCAGUGGUUGAGCACCCCUGAUUCAAUCCCUAGUACCAAAAAGCAUUUUUUCAGCACUAUUGAAUUUAUUACUCCCUUAAUUAACUUAGUAUAUUUCUCUUGUAUACAAAACUAGGAAAUAAAAUAUAUUUCUUUUCUUUCAGACUUGGCAUCAAAAGCUGACCCCAAGAAGUUAUCUCCAAAAAGGGACAUUUAUGAAAUAGAAUCAUCCCCAUGGGCUAUUGUGGAAAAUUUUAUUCCUGAGGGAUCCAUUUUCAGGGAUAUUUGGGAAUGCAAAUGUCAUUUUGAGCAAAAGGAGUGUUAUUUCAGGCAAUUUAUGAUGUACCAUGAAAACGUGCCCAUUUUUAUUCAACAUACUUACUCAAAAUGGAAAGAAAAUCUCUGAAUGUGAAAAAUGUAGAAAAAACUUCUAUUAUCAUUUAUUCUUUUGUCAACACAAAAAUCAUUCUAAAGAACUUUCUGAAUGUAAAGAGUACACAGAAAUUAUUAAUACCCCGUUCCUUAUUAAACAACAGAUAAUUCAAUAUGGUAACCAAUGCAAUGGAUGUAAGAAAUGCUGGAAGACCUUUAUUCAUUGUUCACAACUUAAAAAACAUUUGAGAAUUAAUAAUGGUGAAAAACGCUAUGAAUGUAGAGAAUGUGGAAAGGCUUUUAAUUAUGGCUCAGAACUAAUGUUACAUCAGAGAAUUCACAUUGGUGAGAAACCCUAUGAAUGUUAGGAAUGUAGGAAGGCCUUUAGACAGAGAUCACAACUGACUCAACAUCAGAGACUUCAUACUGGUGAGAAACCCUAUGAAUGUGAGCAAUGUGAGAAAGCUUUUAUUUGUGGCUUUCAACUUACUGAACAUCUGCAAUUCCAUACUGGUGAGAAUCCUUAUGAAUAUAAAGAGUGUGGAAAGACUUUUAGGCAUCGCUCACACCUUACCAUACAUCAAAGAAUUCUUAUGGGUGAGAAAUCCUAUGAAUGCACGGAAUGUGGGAAAGCCUUUAGCUAUUACUCAAGCUACUCUCACCAUCAGAAGAUUAAUUCUGGUCAGAAGCCUUAUGAAUAUAGUGAAUGUGGAAAGGCCUUUCAUAAUUGGCUUAAAACUUAACCUACAUCAGAGAAUUCAUACUGGUGAGAAACCCUAUGAGUGUAAGGAAUGUGGGAAGACUUUUAGACAGUAUUCACACCUCAAAAGACAUUAACAAAUUCAUACUCAUGAGAAACCCCAUGAAUGUAUGAUAUGUGGUAAAACCUUUAGACUUCAUUCACACCUUAUUCAACAUCAGAGAAUUCACACUGGUGAAAAACCCUAUGAAUGUAAGGAAUGUGGAAAGACCUUUAGCUAUCACUCCAGCUUCUUGCAUCAUCAGAGAAUGCAUUCUGGAAAGAAACCUUAUGAAUGUGUCAAGGUCUUUAAUCAUGGCUUACAACUCAAUCUACAUCAGAUACUUCAUACUGGUGAGAUACCAGUAAAGUUUCCUCUCCUCCCUCCACAUCCAAGUUUCACUUCAUAAAAUUAUUUUUGGAGAAAAUACACCUUUUCCUCUCUAAUUUCCAUAUAAGAGAAAAUGUACGACCCUUGACCAUCUGAAAUGGGCAUAUUCCCUAAACUAAUGUUCUUAAGUUCCAUCCAUUUUCCUGCAAAUGAUGUAAUUAAAGUUUUCUUCAUGGCUGAACAUAACUCCCUUAUGAUAUAUACC